GUGGCUUUCAAUUGGGUGAAAUCUCAACUUGUUUUUCCCUUAAAAUCUCCUCUCUUUUUUUAGGAUUUUUUUAAUGCGGUUUUUGAUUCUUUCUAUGGCUGAUAGAUUUAUAUAAGUUUUCAUCAGAGCAAUGGAUUUGUUUGCACUCUUGCAUAACUAAUUCUUAGAAGUCAUGAUUGUUAAUGUUGAUAUGUUCAUUUUCGUAAUUGGAGUUGAGGAGACAUUAUGGUGCUAUUUGUGGUUCAUUUUCGCUGGAUUUGAUUCAGUGAAUAACUUGCUUUUAUAGUUUUUGUUACCAGUUGUAUUUAGCUAAACAAUUUACUUCUUUCCAAGUAAUGGGAUUAUUGUGAUUUGGGUUGUGUAGAAAGUGAGUUUUGCACGUAAAUAACAACUCAUUAAGGACAAGUGCCGCUGCAUGAGUUUUUUUGAACUUAGAAACGUAUGAUUCCGGCUACUCUAGCAAAAGAGUCUUACCUUUGCUGGGCAAUCAGUGAUCAUCCUGACAGAUUUGUCUUCUGUUUCUCUGUCUGUCAAUGAGAAUCAUAAAUAUUAAUGAUGUAGUAUCACCUUUUUGACUUAAAUGCUUAUUUCUUAAUCUGUCCUUGUUCCUGCAAAAAAUAUAUUAGGUAGCUGGUGUUCCAGGAG
rnacentral:misc_RNA from 1 species